GCCAGGCACAGUGGUGUGUGCCUGUAGUCCCAGCUACUUGGGAGGCUGAGGCAGAAGAAUUGCUUGAACCCAGGAGGCGAAGGUUGCAGUGAGAUGAGAUCGCACUGCUGCACUCCAGCCUGGGUGACAGAGCAAGACUCUGUCUCAA
rnacentral:SRP_RNA from 1 species